ACUCCUACGGGAGGCAGCAGUGAGGAAUAUUGGACAAUGGACGCAAGUCUGAUCCAGCCAUGCCGCGUGCAGGAAGACUGCCCUAUGGGUUGUAAACUGCUUUUAUUUGGGAAUAAACCCCGUCUACGUGUAGAGGGCUGAAGGUACCAAAUGAAUAGCACCGGCUAACUUCCGUGCCAAGCAGCCGCGGUAAUACGGAGGGUGCAA
rnacentral:rRNA from 1 species